ACCUGGGAGCUCUCUGUUUCUUCUUAGCUUCAGCAUCAGUGGACGAAAUAACCUGAUUUGAAAAUGCAUUUCAAGACAAUUUAUACUACCAUUCUCAAAACUGCGAACACUACGUACCAAAAAAUUACAUACCUCCACCGAAUCAGCACUAUGCUGCAUAUGAUCUUUAUGAAGAGCAUCGUCGUGAAUAGGUGGAUCAACUGUAGUAUGCUCCUUCACGUAACCAAGGAAGAGGUUGUUUAAAUCAAGCAAGUCGAUUCAUACUAGAACUGGUAGUUAACUUGUCAGACCUUAUACAGAGGAAGCAUGCUUACCUCAGGAGGAACAGUAGCAUGCCCACCAGGUUUGUCAUCAACCAGAAGGCCCUUAUCUCGUAGGACCUUCUCUAUUGUCGACACCCUCUUAUCGAGCUGUUCUAUGCGGGUAUUCUCAACAUCCCCAAUAGGAUGAGGGUCUGCUAAACUAAAACCAUGUUGUACCAAACACGUCUCAAGCACUGUGAUACGUGUGUGAAUUUCCCGCAGUGGAUGUCGAUCACUUUGGCUGGAUGACGGAAUCUAAAACAACACAAUAAUGAAUUAGCUUGUAUGAAUUGAACAAACUGUAGGCAUACAUCAAUGUGUGCAGACUUGAACUAUGUGCCGACAAGUGAAAAGUGCAUGCCAAUUCAAAAGUGCAUAUAUUUGUGUUUGUAAAUGCUAUGUCACAGUAAGCUGCUAAUACCUGAGUUCCGUCGUGCACGGAUUGUUGAUGUUCUGUCUCCGUACGCCUCUCAUCAGGCACACGUAAUUGUGGCCUUCCAGCU
rnacentral:lncRNA from 1 species